CAAGAGUUUGAUCCUGGCUCAGGACGAACGCUGGCGGCGUGCUUAACACAUGCAGGUCGAACGAGAGUUAGAUCGAAUGAGUUUUCGGACAAAUGAGAUUUAACGAAAGUGGCGAACGGGUGAGUAACACGUGAGCAACCUGCCUUACACAGGGGGAUAGCCAUUGGAAACGGUGAUUAAUACCCCAUAAGACCACAAUACCGCAUGGUAAAAGGGUAAAAGGGAUACCGGUGUAAGAUGGGCUCGCGUCUGAUUAGCUAGUUGGUGGGGUAAAGGCCUACC
rnacentral:rRNA from 1 species